GUGCUGGCUUUGGCAGCACAUGUACUAAAAUUGGAACGAUGUAGAGAAGAUUAGCAUGACCUCUGCACAAGGAUGACACAAAUUUGUAAAGUGUUCCAUAUUUAA
ensembl:snRNA U6 U6 spliceosomal RNA